CUGAAUCCAAUUCAAUUGGACUUGAUCCAAAAAUAAUUACUCAAUCAAAUUGAGUUAAUUAACGAUCAAAUCACUAAUUAAAUCUCUCAUAAAUAUUGAGUCUAAAUCCGAUGGGCAAUCGGACAUCAGAAUUCGUCGAUAUGUAACCCUGAUCGAAAAGUCCCAACCAGUGGGACUCUUGACCCCGGUACCCAUAAUGUGUGGAACUCAUGAUCAGAGAAUCCUGAUUCUCAAUCACUGAGUCUCAAAUAUGUAUGAUUCUACAUCAGCCAUCAGAUUAGAUAGGAACCUUUAAUGUGUGUGACCCUGCAGGUUCGAACCUAAGCUGGUAGCACAGGAACCAAUUCCUGUACUAAUCGAAGUGACCAUCUAGCAAUGGUACCCGAUGUUCGGAUAGAUCGAAGAGUCGCAAUCGCAACACUCAGAACCUACAUGAAUAUGGUUACUGUAUAAUUCAUCCUUUUGACCCCUGUGUUUAGGACGAUUCAGGGUUAAACUGUCAACCCUGAUCAGAUUAUCUAAAUCGUGCUCAACUCAAACAGUCCUGUGACUCCUCACAAGUCAAGUACUUGACUACACCCAGCAGCCUUCCAUCACUGAAUUAAACAUUCAGGUAGUCCAGUGCCUAAGUGUAGUGAGUUGCUUGCAAGUCAUCGUGGCAGUCUC
rnacentral:lncRNA from 1 species